AUGAAUUAGAAUAAUAUUUGCGGUCAUGCCGAGAAAAAUUGUAACCGACACUUGAACUUGGAAUAGCGAAUCAUGUAGACAUGUAUUCUCCACUGGUGCUGUGAUUUAAGAUUGUAAAAAGGAAUUUAUGGAAAUAUUUUGGAAUUUAAAUCUAGACAAUCCUACCAGUGGAUGUGACAUAAAUUUUGUUAUUUUGUGAGUGUCAAAUCAUCUACACCAAAGGGCGUAUCGUCAUGCCCUUUUGGUGUACGGCUGAAUGUGAAAAGUAUAAUCUGACUGAGCUAGCCUUUACCUCGGCAGCGGUUCGGCUGAGUACCUCGUCGGUCACCAGACGGAAACUCACCUGGCGUCCAAAUUUAGAUUAAUUAGUUAGUUAAGUAGGAUUAGUUAUUGUAAUAUAUAUAAAGUUAAUUUUUA